UGAAUAUGUAAGGAAAAGGAAGAACAGAUUUUGUUUGGGGCUGGGCAGUAGGUACAGUUAGGUCUGCCCCCUGCACCAAGCUUAUGUGAGGUAAAGCUGACUUGUUGCUCAUGUUAUUUAGGUGAAAAGCUACUCUGGUCAGUCCUUGUUUUCUGUUUUGGCACUAAAUGUGAUCAGGUAGCUUGAUUUGAUGCAAAUAAUGGAAAUUGCACAUUGCUUACGAGAGCAUGGUUUGGAUCUCCUAUAAAGCAGUAGCAAAUCUAGAACUGUGCAGAUCCUAAGAGUUUUGAAUUUUGAAACAAACUUUGAAGUUGCAUGAUGUCUCAUGUAGAGUUAAACCUGUUCUCAAAACUCAGAUUUUUCUUCUGUAUUUCCGCAUCUUGCUUAUAAGAGUUAUUCUAAAUAGUGGUUGCUUCCUUUGUAUAUGUAGAAGUGCCUGUCUAUUUAUUGUUCAGAUUGAAGACCAAAACAUUUUCUUAAAUAUAUUUUGUGUAACAUUUUAUUUGUAUAGUGUUGUCACUCAGAUAUUUAAAUAGAGCAUGAUAUUUUAAAUCUGUGAGAUGUGUAACAUGUUAAAUAAAGCUGUUAUUUUUGAAUUUGAAAAAUAAAAUGUGAUUUAAAUA